CCCUUAGAUGUUCUGGGCUGCACGCGCGCUACACUGACGCACGCAACAGGUGCCUGCUCCGAGAGGACUGGGUAAUCAUUUGAGUGUGCGUCGUGAUGGGGAUAGAAUAUUGUAAUUAUUACUCUUCAACGAGGAAUUCCUAGUAAGCGCCAGUCAGCAGCUUGCGCUGAUUACGUCCCUGCCCUUUGUACACACCGCCCGUCGCUCCUACCGAUGGGUGAUCCGGUGAAUGACUCGGACUUCAGCGGCUCCCCUGGGGUGCGCCGGAGAAAGUUUUGUGAACCUUAUCACUUGGAGGAAGGAGAAGUCGUAACA
rnacentral:rRNA from 1 species